rnacentral:rRNA from 1 species
GUCCACGCUGUAAACGAUGGUCACUAGAUGUGGGCUGAGCUUAGCUUAGUCUGUGUCGAAGCUAACGCGUUAAGUGGCCCGCCUGAGUAGUACGGUCGCAAGAUUAAAACUCAAAGGAAUUGACGGGGGUCCGCACAAGCGGUGGAACAUGUGGUUUAAUUCGACACUACGCGAGGAACCUUACCUGGGUUUGACAUGUAAUUGCUACUGAUAGAAAUAUUGGGUUUCUGUAGAAAUACAGGACGAUUACACAGGUGCUGCAUGGCUGUCGU